CCUACGGGGGGCUGCAGUGGGGAAUAUUGGACAAUGGGGGGAACCCUGAUCCAGCCAUGCCGCGUGUGUGAAGAAGGCCCUCGGGUUGUAAAGCACUUUCAGUGAGGUAGAACGCCUGGUGGUUAAUACCCAUCAGGAAAGACAUCACUCACAGAAGAAGCACCGGCUAACUCCGUGCCAGCAGCCGCGGUGAUACGGAGGGUGCGAGCGUUAAUCGGAAUUACUGGGCGUAAAGCGCGCGUAGGUGGCUUGAUAAGCCGGUUGUGAAAGCCCCGGGCUCAACCUGGGAACGGCAUCCGGAACUGUCAAGCUAGAGUGCAGGAGAGGAAGGUAGAAUUCCCGGUGUAGCGGUGAAAUGCGUAGAGAUCGGGAGGAAUACCAGUGGCGAAGGCGGCCUUCUGGACUGACACUGACACUGAGGUGCGAAAGCGUGGGUAGCAAACAGGAUUAGAUACCCCAGUAGUC
rnacentral:rRNA from 1 species